UGGAUUUUUAUAUGUUGUGUACAA
rnacentral:siRNA from 1 species